ensembl:lncRNA
GAGCGUUUUCCACGGAAGUGACACCUAAGAUGACUUUCACGGCUGCACCCAAUCGCACUGUUUCCACGGAAGUGACACCUAAGGUGACUUUCACGGCUGCACCCAAUUGCACUGUCACUGUGCUGGUUUGUGUCACCGCUGCUGCUAUACCCUGCCUUCUCCGGUGUCUGGAUGGACCGCGUUUCCCGGGGACUGGGUUUCCUGGAGACCAGGUAAAUCAUGCCCAGGGGCAGGCAGCCAGGGGAGAGGAGCAGAUGGCACACUGAUGACGCAGCCGCCACCAGGAGCUGGUCCAUGGAGGGGAUACAGCAACACCCGACGCUUUCACCCGGUUGAUCUGAUGAACACAGCCGAAGACUUCCGGCAGCACAGGCCUGGGUUCUGAGGCAUGAAUGAAAAACACGACUUUUAUUGCACAACUGGAAAACUAACCAACAUGGAGCUAAGGAAGACUGUCUUUGCUUAACUGAGCUUGACAAGAAAACUAUCAAGCCUCAGCUUUGGGGUAGUGCACUGGCCUAGGACAUCAUGGUAACUGAUGACCUCACGCUAACCGGACUCCAGGGACUGAGCUGGAGAGAAACAACCCAGACUCCGAUAAGACCUGUGUGUGGCAGAGAGUGGACGUUGAUCUCACAGAAACUCUGUGGACAUCUUAAGGGGCCCAGUGCUCCAAAACUUGUCAGAAGCAGAAAUUAAAAUAAAAGAGGAUCUCCCUGGAGUGCCUGGCAGAUGGCAAGCCAAGCACUCAGGCAGGUGAGACUUGCCAUGCCUGCCUGAGUCCUGUGUCCAGGGUUCGGAGCUAUUUCUGUGUUUUGAAGCACUGUUGUUCCUGACAACUACGGUUCACAAAUGACUUGUGUCCAGCCUUUCUCAGAAAUCUAGCCCUGGUCACGGGGAGGCCGAUCCGGAGGAGAGACGGAGCUUGAGAAAGUGUGGGCUCUGUGCAGAAACCACCGCAACCAAGAAACUCAGCCUGUGCUUCCCUCAUCAUCAGUUUAUUCUGAAAUAGACUACUGUUGACCAUGACGGAAACUUCCUGCUACUAAAAGAAGUGACGUGUUUGUCUGAGGAGUGAAACAAAGCUGACCCAGCUGGGUGGCCUGGGGCAGUAUUGACCAUGACUGAUGACGACUCAGCUUUUCACUGUCCCAGAGCAGCAGAAUUGAGCCUUACCUGUAAGGUUUUUGCAACCACCUGAGAGGGUGGAGGAAAGGACUGCCCUGUCCCACUCCGGCCUAGCUGUUGGAGACCCAUGGCCUGCCUCACUGUUCACACAGGCAAAGCCAAGGUCCCUCCCCAGUGACCUUAGGGGACGCUCUGAAACUGGGGAGAUCCUAGAACAAACUGUAGGAGCCUGUAGGAAUGACGCAUAAUCAUACCUUAUAACAUUUAAAAUGUGAGAUAAUUAAACUCUUCAUAAUCC